rnacentral:tRNA from 1 species
GGCGGUAUGGUGAAAUUGGUAUACACGCCUGAUUCAAAAUCAGGUUCGAGAGAGUGCCGGUUCGACUCCGGCUACCGCUACCA